UACGUAGGGUGCGAGCGUUGUUCGGAAUUAUUGGGCGUAAAGGGCGCGUAGGCGGUUUGCUAAGUCAGUUGUGAAAGCCCGGGGCUCAACCCCGGAGGGUCGGCUGAUACUGGUGGACUAGAGUACGGAAGAGGUAGCUGGAAUUCCCGGUGUAGCGGUGAAAUGCGUAGAUAUCGGAAGGAACACCAGUGGCGAAAGCGGCUUCCUGGUCCAGCACCGACGUUCAGGCACGAAAGCGUGGGGAGCAAACAGG
rnacentral:rRNA from 1 species